rnacentral:snRNA from 1 species
GGCAACGCCAUGUACCUCUACAUGUGGAUUUAUACGUUUAAUAUGCGUACGAUAUGCUUCAGAUUUAAUUGUACCUUCCGUUCCUAGUACUAAUACAUUUUGAUUUCUAGUAGUCAUUAUUGCUGUUCUAGCACCUGGUUCAAUUACGCCAAUCACUGGGAUUGAUAAGGUCUUUUGUAAAUAUUCUAAAGCUACAGCAGUUGCUGUAUUACAAGCAAUCACGAGCAUUUUUAUAUCAAAUUCCAUUAAUUUACGAGCGAUUUCAACUGUAUAUUGUUUUACUUGUUCUCCUGGUCUUGGCCCAUAUGGACAUCGCCCAAUAUCACCUAAGUAAUAAAUCGUCUCAUUUGGCAACUGACGCAUAAUUUCUUUAGCUACUGUCAAACCUCCGACACCAGAGUCUAUUACACCUAUUGGUUUAUUCAUAUUCGGUCAUCCUUACUUUUAAUUUAAUUUUUAGUUUAUCAUAACUAAGCAUUGGAUUUUAGUAUUAUGCACUGUGUUUACCAUUUUUGUCAUUAUAAUAUAAUACUUGUUUUAAAUCAGCC